CUUCGUAGCCCUCCUUGGGCGUUUCCUCCCUUGACUUGGGCCGCUGGUUCGUCCGGCGGCCCUUUUUUACGCCAGC
rnacentral:sRNA from 1 species